CCCCCCCCCCCCCCCCCCCCCCCCCCCCCCCCCCCCCCCCCCCCCCCCCCCCCCCCCCCCCCCCCCGAGCAGCGGCAGGAGGAGGAGGAGCAGGAGCGGGAGCGAAGCGGCUGUUGUUGAUGGGUAACAGUCGCCAGGACUACGGUGACUAUGGCGCUCGACUCACAAGGUGUAUACAGAGUUACAGGGACGGACAUCUGGAGAGCAUUUGGUCCAGCCCCCCGUGCCAAGGCAGGGUCACCCACAGCAGGUUACACAGGAACAGGUCCAGGUGUUUUGAAGGUCUUCAGAGAGCGAAAGUCCAGGACCUCGGUGGGCAGCCUGUCCCAGUGUUCUGCCACUAUCAAGGUAAAGAGCCGCUUCCUGAAGGUGACUUUGAGGCUAUGUAUAGUGCCCCUGCAUCCACUAGCUACUACUCUGUCAAGUAGUCCCCUUGCAUCCCAACCUGCAGCCCUUUUCUAAGCAGAAAAGUAUCUUCCAAGCUUUAUACACAGUUGCAGCAGUCUGUGUAGCCAGUAUUGCUUGCCUAUAUGUAAACCGUGGAGUUCCCUCUUGACCUAUGCACUGGUUUGUGUCCUCGUGUGUUCUACAAACACAUCUACCAGUCACAUCUUUCGCAUACCUCCUGCUGAAAGCACCUGGCAUUUGUGUGGAAUGGCCUAUAACCAGCUCUGUCCCUACAGAAAGAAAUUGAAAUUGCUCUUACAUUAAUAUAUUUACUCUGAUUUUCAGGGCCCUGUGUAACCAUCUUAAGCUGUAGAAACUAAUUACUAAAAAUACUGGGA
rnacentral:lncRNA from 12 species